UAAUUGCAAGACUGAGAAGACAGAAGCAGAUGGAUCUCUGCCAAGGCAAACGUGGAUGUCUCUGACCCCAGAGCCUGUGCACAUGCUGUCUCCCCAUGUGCCAUGUUUUCCUGCAUGGAUGCUUUCUGUGAACACUCACUGAUUGUUUCCUGCUGGUCCUUUCGGCUCUCCAAGUUGCAUAAUCCUGGCAGCUGCCUAGAAGGAAGGCUCAUGUGUCCGGUCUGUCCCAGCUGGAUGAACCAUUUGGGGGUGUUCUAUAACCUCAGGAAUGUCACUUGGAGGGAGUGGAAAGUCACUGAGGGUGGGCUUCAAGUUUUAUGACCUGGCCCUGCUUUCUCUGCUACUGCCAUAGAGCCACUCACCACUAAUAUGGGUUACGAUGCCUUAGAAC